UGGGGAAUAUUGCACAAUGGGCGCAAGCCUGAUGCAGCAACGCCGCGUGAGGGACGACGGCCUUCGGGUUGUAAACCUCUUUUAGUAGGGAAGAAGCGAAAGUGACGGUACCUGCAGAAAAAGCACCGGCUAACUACGUGCCAGCAGCCGCGGUAAUACGUAGGGUGCGAGCGUUGUCCGGAAUUAUUGGGCGUAAAGAGCUCGUAGGCGGUCUGUCGCGUCUGCUGUGAAAACCCGAGGCUCAACCUCGGGCCUGCAGUGGGUACGGGCAGACUAGAGUGCGUAGGGAGAAUGGAAUUCCUGGUGUAGCGGUGGAAUGCGCAGAUAUCAGGAGGAACACCGAUGGCGAAGGCAGUUCUCUGGGCCGUAACUGACGCUGAGGAGCGAAAGCGUGGGGAGCGAACAGGAUUAGAUACCCUGGUAGUCCACGCCGUAAACGUUGGGCGCUAGAUGUGGGGACCAUUCCACGGUUUCCGUGUCGCAGCUAACGCAUUAAGCGCCCCGCCUGGGGAGUACGGCCGCAAGGCUAAAACU
rnacentral:rRNA from 1 species